CUUUUAUUCCUCCGUCCAACAAAGGAUGUCUUAACUUUGACUAAAUUUGAAUGCAUGUAUACAUUAAUUCAUGUCUAAAUACAUCUAAAAUUUGACAAAGUUGAGAUAUCUUUUGCUGGACGGAAGAAAUAGUAU
rfam:Brachypodium distachyon strain Bd21 chromosome 3, whole genome shotgun sequence.